rnacentral:rRNA from 1 species
AGUGAACGCUGGCGGUAGGCCUAACACAUGCAAGUCGAACGGCAGCACAGUAAGAGCUUGCUCUUACGGGUGGCGAGUGGCGGACGGGUGAGGAAUACAUCGGAAUCUACUUUUUCGUGGGGGAUAACGUAGGGAAACUUACGCUAAUACCGCAUACGACCUACGGGUGAAAGCAGGGGAUCUUCGGACCUUGCGCGAUUGAAUGAGCCGAUGUCGGAUUAGCUAGUUGGCGGGGUAAAGGCCCACCAAGGCGACGAUCCGUAGCUGGUCUGAGAGGAUGAUCAGCCACACUGGAACUGAGACACGGUCCAGACUCCUACGGGGGGCAGCAGUGGGGAAUAUUGGACAAUGGGCGCAAGCCUGAGCCAGCCAUACCGCGUGGGUGAAGAAGGCCUUCGGGUUGUAAAUCCCUUUUGUUGGGAAAGAAAAGCAGCAGGUUAAUACCCCGCUGUUCUGACGGUACCCAAAGAAUAAGCACCGGCUAACUUCGUG